rnacentral:rRNA from 1 species
AGCAGCCGCGGUAAUUCCAGCUCCAAUAGCGUAUAUUAAAGUUGUUGCAGUUAAAAAGCUCGUAGUUGAACUUCGGGAUUUACCCAUUGGUCAGGCUUAAUUGUCUGUACUGGUGAGAUAAAUCUCUACCUUCUGAGGAACUUUCAUGCCAUUUAUUUGGUGUGAUUGGAAAUCAGGACUAUUACUUUGAAAAAUUAGAGUGUUUAAAGCAGGCUAACGUCUGAAUAUAUUAGCAUGGAAUAAUGAAAUAGGACGGCUUGGUUCUAUUUCGUUGGUUUCUAGGAUCACCGUAAUGAUUAAUAGGGAUAGUUGGGGGCAUUAGUAUUCAAUUGUCAGAGGUGAAAUUCUUGGAUUUAUUGAAGACUAACUACUGCGAAAGCAUUUGCUAAGGAUGUUUUCAUUAAUCAAGAACGAAAGUUAGGGGAUCGAAGACGAUCAGAUACCGUCGUA